AGACCAUCACGGACGCCGAGCUUCAGGUGACUCUCACAGUGGAAGGUCCAGGAACUCACUUUUUAUGGUUUCUCUGGGGUCCCCUUUGGCUAAGAGAAGGUCUGUUCAGCAGACAGACCUAGGCACUGCCCUCUUCCCCAAGCCAGCAGGAAAUAAGCACACAGCAUUUCUACUUUCCAUAUCUAAUCGUGAUGUUUAGGCUGACAGCAAAAGUGCCAGGUACUGUCAGUUGUGAUCACAGUCACCAAACUGGAGAACAUGGACUGAGACCCCGACAUUGACCAAACCUGAGACUGAGACAGCAGCUGCUUCACAUCUCUACCACACAGAUGCAGAUGCAGUUGCAAAGCAGUAGUACUCGGGAGUGAAAGGCAGUCAUGCUCCUCUGGUUCAUCUCGCAUCCUGUGUUGUCCACAUUGCACCCCUGUCCCUUUCCAUUUAUCACGCCAGUCUUGACAAAGAGGCAUGCUGUUUUUUUCCCUGCUUUAACCUGUUUCAGAAAUGCUGACCUUGCGAAGACUGUGACUAAGUUGGUUGGAGGUUGUAACACCAUCAUUCCAUUGCCUCUCGCUGCUCUGCUGUUGCUUUCCACCAGCGUAAAAUCAAUUAAGGAGGUCUUGUGUGGUAAGAAUCGUAAGAAGACAAUAAAACUACAGCUGAGUCAUGGCCUGGUGUUCUCCUGAUGACACACUCAGCCCUACAGUGUUACAGAGCUCACAGAAUUAUGU
rnacentral:lncRNA from 10 species